rfam:Citrus clementina cultivar Clemenules unplaced genomic scaffold scaffold_7, whole genome shotgun sequence.
GGCUAGUCACGGAGGAAAAUAUACAGCUUAUUUGCCAGUUCUGCUUCAGAAAAUUCCUGAUUGAUGAAGCAGUUUCAUACUGUGAGCCUCUU